rnacentral:rRNA from 1 species
GGACGGUAGCACAGAGGAGCUUGCUCCUUGGGUGACGAGAGGCGGACGGGUGAAUAAUCUAUGGGAAACUGCCCGAUGGAGGGGGAUAACUACUGGAAGCGGUAGGUAAUACCGCAUAACGUCUUCGGACCAAAGUGGGGGACCUUCGGGCCUCACACCAUCGGAUGUGCCCAGAUGGGAUUAGCUAGUAGGUGGGGUAAUGGCUCACCUAGGCGACGAUCCCUAGCUGGUCUGAGAGGAUGACCAGCCACACUGGAACUGAGACACGGUCCAGACUCCUACGGGAGGCAGCAGUGGGGAAUAUUGCACAAUGGGCGCAAGCCUGAUGCAGCCAUGCCGCGUGUAUGAAGAAGGCCUUCGGGUUGUAAAGUACUUUCAGUGGGGAGGAAGGCGUUAAGGUUAAUAACCUUAGCGAUUGACGUUACCCGCAGAAGAAGCACCGGCUAACUCCGUG